AUGUCAGGCAGAUCAGAGGACAGCUGAUUCAUUUAGGAUCUGGAACUUUUCCCUCUCUUGUGCUCUUAGGUUUUGUGAAGGGAUUCUGACUGCCAUGCUGGUUACUUUUUGUUUGUUUUUUGAGAAAAAUACCUUAAUGUUACCUAUGAGUUUUGGGAAGCUUUCUAAGUUUUCACUGGCUAAAAUGCCCCUUAUGUGAGAGAAGCGUCUGCUGUGUGAGAGGCAGAUCUUACGUAGUCAGGAGAAUGAUGAAACGGAGGAGAGAGAGACUGGGAGCACCGUGCCUGCGGAUUCAAAUCUCCACUCUCUGCCGAGGAGCCGACAUAACUCAGCACAUGUUUUCGCCCUCCUCGGCUCCAGCCCUCUCCCUGGCUAAAGCCCCAUUUAGUGCUGAUUGUGUGCUGUCUACUUCUCCUCUUGUCUUUUUUCUGAACCCUCAAGCCCACAGCAGUCCCUGCAGUCCCUGUUCCAGCCGCACACUGCAGUGGAGCAAAGCUCCGUGAAAAGCUUAUGCCUUCCCAGGCAUAAGCUAGGUGGAGAAUACUGUGAAAUGAGGUCCGAGGAGUAAUAUGGAGCUUUGAAGGCCAUUGUAUGUCUAUUUGUUUUUAUUCUGAGGGAGGUAAGUAGACAUGAAGUGUUUAAAGCACAAGAAUUUAUGGAUAUAGAGAGUCCUUUGAGACAGGCAUGAUGGCACAGCUGAAAUCUCAGUACUUGAGAAUUGCAAACAAGGAAGGUCAGGAGUUCAAGGCCAACCUGGAUACAUAGUGAGUGUGUGCAUACAGGCCACCCUAGGCUACAUGAGACUUUGUCUCACAAGUAAUUAAAAGAGCAUUGGAGAAAUGGCUCAGUGUGCAAAGGUACUUGCAGCUAUCCCUGAUGACCUGUGUUCAGCACCCAGAAUUCACAUGAUGGAAGAAAAAAACUGAGUCCUGAAAGUAGUUCAGUGUAGUCCUUUGACCACCACAAGUGUGUAAUAGCCAGGCCGUGGUGGCCCACACCUUUAAUCCCAGCACUCGGGAGGCAGAGCCAGGCGGAUCUCUGUGAGUUCAACGCCAGCCUGAGCUACAGAGUGAGUUCCAGGAAAGGCUCCAAAGCUGUACAGAGAAACCCUGUCUUUAAAAAAAAAAAAAAAGAAAAAAAGGAAAAAAAGUGUAAAAUAAAUAUAAUUAAAAUUAUCACUCUGGUAUAUAGUGCUAGUCGCAUUAUCUAGGUAAGGCACCCUUGUUCUUUGAACCUAUGAUGGUGCAGAUAAAAAGUGAUCAUCUUGCCGGGCGGUGGUGGCGCACGCCUUUAAUCCCAGCACUCGGGAGGCAGAGCCAAGCGGAUCACUGUGAG